rnacentral:rRNA from 1 species
UACGGGGGGGGCAAGCGUUGUUCGGAUUUACUGGGCGUAAAGGGCGGGUAGGCGGCCACUGCAAGUCGGUUGUGAAAUCUCCGGGCUUAACUCGGAAAGGUCAAUCGAUACUGCAGGGCUAGAGUGCAGAAGGGGCAACUGGAAUUCUCGGUGUAGCGGUGAAAUGCGUAGAUAUCGAGAGGAACACCUGCGGCGAAGGCGGGUUGCUGGGCUGACACUGACGCUGAACUGCGAAAGCUAGGGGAGCGAACGGG